rnacentral:rRNA from 1 species
AUCGAACGCUGGCGGCAUGCUUUACACAUGCAAGUCGAACGGCAGCGCGGGCUUCGGCCUGGCGGCGCGUGGCGAACGGGUGAGUAAUGCAUCGGAACGUGCCCAGUAGUGGGGGAUAGCCCGGCGAAAGCCGGAUUAAUACCGCAUACGACCUGCGGGUGCAAGCGGGGGACCGAAAGGCCUCGCGCUAUUGGAGCGGCCGAUGUCGGAUUAGCUAGCUGGUGGGGUAAAGGCUUACCAAGGCGACGAUCCGUAGCUGGUCUGAGAGGACGACCAGCCACACUGGGACUGAGACACGGCCCAGACUCCUACGGGAGGCAGCAGUGGGGAAUUUUGGACAAUGGGGGCAACCCUGAUCCAGCCAUGCCGCGUGCGGGAAGAAGGCCUUCGGGUUGUAAACCGCUUUUGUUCGGGAAGAAAUCCUCUGGGCUAAUACCCCGGGGGGAUGACGGUACCGGAAGAAUAAGCACCGGCUAACUACGUG